GUGGAAGUGUCCAGAUCCUCAUUUCUUGUAUGUGACACUGUUACAGAUAAUUCAUUUGUGCAGAUUAACAACGAGAACCAUUGGUAUCGUCUGCUUUCCAUUCACUGUGUGAGCGACUACAUUCCACUGUUCUCCACUGUCGACAGAAAAAAAGUUAAAGAAUUAAGCAUGACAGAAGACCAGUUGCGCUGUUCCAUCUGCCUGGAUCUCUUCGUCCACCCUGUCUCCACUCCAUGUGGAAAAAACUUCUGCAAAUGUACGCCAUGUUUUAUGGAACUUUCUAUGGAUCCCAACUUCGUAUUAUGUCUCAUACAGUAAAUUGUAUGUAUUUUUUGUCUGCCACUGGUUUACACUGAUUUGUCCCCCAGGGAGGAAUAAAUACCCUAUCUAUCUAUCUA